UAACCAUGAGGAGGGCAUCUUAUAAGUAACUCUUUGAAGCGCUUCCAACUCUCAUAAAAUUUCUCAUCCUCCUCCUGAGUGAAGGAACUAAUCUCCUUUUUGCAAUCA